UCAAAAAUCACGCUUAAGCUAUCUCUUAUGUACUUAUUCCUUAUCCUAUUUUAUUUGUCGCUCCUCAUUCACCUAAGCAUUCUCAUGCCUGUUCCACUCAUUCUCUUUUCUAUUUUUCUGGUUACUGAUCAGCACUCCAUACCAUACAAUGUAGUCAGUGUCACCACAUUUUUAUAAACUUACUUAAACUCUCAUUGGAAUUCUCAUGUCAUAUAAAACACCUGAUACUUCUCUCCACUUGAUCCAAUAACACUUAAUCCUAUAUUUCACAUCCUAAUCAAAACCACCAUUAUUUUCUUUAAAAGAUCCUAGAUAGUUAAAACUCUUAACUCUCUCCUAUUCUCAUUAGCUAUUAUAGAAUCGGGUUGAACAUAAAUUGAAUUUAUAAUUAUUAAUACAACUCAUGUGCAUCCGAGCCUAAAUUAAUUUGCAUAUUAUUUGUAUUUGGUUGAAACUAAGUAAUAUGAUUUAUCCGGAUUACAGGUCUCCUUUACAAUACAAUUGUAUAGUGUUAUUCUAUUUAGAAACUGAUGAGGAAUUAGAAUAUAUAUAAAUAUAAUAUAUCUCUGAAUAUAUUUAUUUAAGUUUUUAGUGCUUUUGUUUAAAUUCACUAUUUAAUACCUACAUGUUCAUA